UGGGGAAUAUUGCACAAUGGGCGCAAGCCUGAUGCAGCCAUGCCGCGUGUGUGAAGAAGGCCUUCGGGUUGUAAAGCACUUUCAGCGAGGAGGAAGGUGGUGAGCUUAAUACGCUCAUCAAUUGACGUUACUCGCAGAAGAAGCACCGGCUAACUCCGUGCCAGCAGCCGCGGUAAUACGGAGGGUGCAAGCGUUAAUCGGAAUUACUGGGCGUAAAGCGCACGCAGGCGGUUUGUUAAGUCAGAUGUGAAAUCCCCGGGCUCAACCUGGGAACUGCAUUUGAAACUGGCAAGCUAGAGUCUCGUAGAGGGGGGUAGAAUUCCAGGUGUAGCGGUGAAAUGCGUAGAGAUCUGGAGGAAUACCGGUGGCGAAGGCGGCCCCCUGGACGAAGACUGACGCUCAGGUGCGAAAGCGUGGGGAGCAAAACAGGAUUAGAUACCCUGGUAGUCCACGCUGUAAAACGAUGUCGAUUUUGGAGGUUGUGCCCUUGAGGCGUGGCUUCCGGAGCUAACGCGUUAAAUCGACCGCCUGGGGAGUACGGCCGCAAGGUUAAAAACU
rnacentral:rRNA from 1 species